rnacentral:rRNA from 1 species
AAUGGGGGAAACCCUGAUCCAGCCAUGCCGCGUGUGUGAAGAAGGCCUUAGGGUUGUAAAGCACUUUCAGUGGGGAGAAAGGUUUGUCACCUAAUACGUGAUGAAAUUGAUGUUACCCACAGAAGAAGCACCGGCUAACUCCGUGCCAGCAGCCGCGGUAAUACGGAGGGUGCAAGCGUUAAUCGGAAUUACUGGGCGUAAAGCGCACGUAGGUGGUUCGCUAAGUCAGCUGUGAAAUCCCCGGGCUCAACCUGGGACUUGCAGUUGAAACUGGUGAGCUAGAGUAGGGUAGAGGGGUGUGGAAUUCCAGGUGUAGCGGUGAAAUGCGUAGAUAUCUGGAGGAACAUCAGUGGCGAAGGCGACACCCUGGACUCAUACUGACACUGAGGUGCGAAAGCGUGGGGAGCAAA